GCCAGGUGUCAAAUCAGCUCAUACUCGGGGCGUUUCUGAGCUGCUCCUUGGCCAGGCAGAGCUGCGGGCCCGUCAGCAUUCACAGGGCACCCCAGAGGCGCCAGGCACAGCCUUAUGACCCAGCAUUUUGUUCAACAUGGCUCUCUUCUUGCUUCUCACUCUAUCUGGCUCUGGAAGGGAAUUCUACAUGAAGAAGAAAGCAUAGGUGGUUGUGCAAGUCAGGUGAUGACUUCUGUUGUCCGUUCUCCAUCCCAGCCCUGCAGCUCAUCAGCGUGCUCUUCUCUCUAGGCUGACAGCCUCUCGGAUCCAAGCAGGUCCGCAUCCUGGCAGAAUGUCCUGAAGACAGGAAUGGAAAUUCCCUCAGAACAUCUCCGUUGUCUGGGCUCUCCCAUCUCCACGGUAACACUCCAGGAUGGUCUGUAAUCAGGAGGGGGCUGGGUUGCCAUGAUUCAGGUCUGAAGCCACUCCCAGAGCGGGAAAAGCCUCUGAGGAUUCUGGAGGUCACACCUGCCCAAGCCCGUUCCUCCACUCUGACAAUGGGGUCCCUGGGAGGUGGCCCUGGGAGCCAGAUUCUUAAGGGAAGAGCCAGGGUGAGAAGCUCUGAACUCUUGAGGGAGAAUCUGUGCCUGCUCUGCUUGGCAGGGCUGAGUACACCCCCAGGGCCUAAUGAGAAACGCCCUUGACGGAUGAAUGAUGAAGGAGGAAUCACAAACCAGCUAAUGGCCAUGUGCUGUGUGAGCCUUUUCCAAAUUCUAGACUUGCUCUACCAUUGACGGCCACUUCCAAGCUUAUAGGGCCCUGCCUUUGCGAGUAACCACACAUGCGUUGUUUCACGUCUGCAUGAUUGUAUCCAUAGAAUAAAUUCAUAGGAAUAGAAUUGUUAAUAGAAUUGCUCGACCAGGUUUCACAUGCAUUUGCCAUGCGAUGGAUGUGGCCAGUUUUCUGUUCUUCGAAGAGAUGGGCUUUAUGUAGCCUUCACAACACACAAGAACUGACUGCCCACACCCUGGCCCUGAGCAGGGCUUUGUGAGCAGGUUGAGCAUUUUCUUCAUGCGGUUAAGAGUGCCUUAUAUUUUGUUUUCUGUGAACUCAGUUGAAAUCCUUUGCUUCUUUUUACUUAUUGACUUACUGGUCUCUUUCUUAUUGAUUUAAAUAUUUGGAAAUGACUGUUUCUGGUAUUAAUUGCAAAUUUCUUUUUCAGCUUGUUAUUAUCUUUCAAUUGACUCGUGGUGGUGUUUCAUUCUAGGCAGAAGGUUUUAUUUUUGUGUCAUCAUAUUUCUUAGCAUUAUUAUGGCUUCUGGAUUUUGUCUUGUGUUUAGAUCUUCCCUACUCCAAUGUCAUAAAAAAUUCUCCCAUGGUCUCCUCUUUGCUUCUUUUCUUCCUUUUUUUUUUUUCUUUCUGGGAGUUACACCUUUGCUCUAUUUGGAAUUAAUUUUGGUGAAGUAUAGAACCAACUUCAUAGUUUUUCCAGGAGACUACCUAGUCAACAUCAUUAUAUGAAUAUCCUGUUUCCCCUCAUGAUUUGAAUGUCUUUGUCUUAUAAUUUGCAGUAUUUUGAGGUCUAUUUCUAUGCUUUCUAAUUAUUUAUUUGCCAGUAACAUAUUUUUAAAUGGACAUAGCUUUAAAUGGAAUUUUAUAAUAUGUUUUGAGAUCUGAUAGUAAUAGUUUCUCUAUUAUUUGUUUUUUCUUUUAGGUUUGUCUUAUGUAUUCUUAAAUAUUUCCUUACACAAAUUUAGAUUUAGCCUGUCUGGUUUUUAAAAAGUUAGCCUUUUAACUGGGAUUGUAUCAUAUGUGCAGAGACUAACUUUGCAAAAAUUGAAAGUCUGUAUACCUGCUUGGCUUCUGCCCCGUCUGUGCACAUCCCUCCGAGGCAGGGCCGUUUUCACAUUUCUUGCUAACCUUGUUGAAUUAUAUUUUUGCAUAUUUGUUUGCAAUUGCUCCUUCAGGGUUAUCCAGAUGCACAAUAAAAUAAUCUAUAAGUAAUCAUCACUUUCUCUGCUCCUUUCUCAUUUUUGCACUCCCAGUUUCUGUGCCUUAAUUGCAUGAGAUGUGC
rnacentral:lncRNA from 1 species